GAUAGUUUCAGGUUUUAGUUGUGGCAUCUUUUCCAAGAAAAGAUGUUUGUAAGUUUCCAUACCCAUAGCAUGCUGAUCUUUACUUCGUACUUGAUUCAAGAACCAGUGUAGUGCAUCAUCAUAACAUUCAGAAUCUUCUACUAAGCAGUGCCACAAUAUGUCCACUUGUUCUAAACUCAAUCUGAAAUGAUCUGGUGAUCCUAGAGUUGAAAAAACACAAGUCAAGAACUGAAGACGAACUUGAACUUCUGCACUGUGGCUAUAUAAUGCAUAUUUAUGUCGUCC
rnacentral:lncRNA from 1 species